AAUCAACGCUGGCGGCGUGCCUAACACAUGCAAGUCGCACGAGAAAGGGACUUCGGUCCUGAGUACAGUGGCGCACGGGUGAGUAACACGUGAAUAAUCUACCUCCGAGUGGGGAAUAACUGAGAGAAAUCUUAGCUAAUACCGCAUAACACUUACGAGUCAAAGCAGCAAUGCGCUUGGAGAGGAGUUCGCGGCAGAUUAGUUAGUUGGCAGGGUAANGGCCUACCAAGACGAUGAUCUGUAUCCGGCCUGAGAGGGCGCACGGACACACUGGAACUGAAACACGGUCCAGACUCCUACGGGAGGCAGCAGUGGGGAAUUUUGCGCAAUGGGGGAAACCCUGACGCAGCAACGCCGCGUGGAGGAUGAAAUCCCUUGGGAUGUAAACUCCUUUCGAUCGGGAAGAUAAUGACGGUACCGAGAGAAGAAGCCCCGG
rnacentral:rRNA from 1 species